GACGGAGGGUGCAAGCGUUAUUCGGAAUCAUUGGGCGUAAAGGGCGUGUAGGCGGCCGGUUAAGUCAGGCGUGAAAGCCCAGGGCUCAACCCUGGAAGUGCGCUUGAAACUGAUCGGCUUGAGUCCGGGAGAGGGAAGCGGAAUUCCUGGUGUAGAGGUGAAAUUCGUAGAUAUCAGGAGGAACACCGGUGGCGAAGGCGGCUUCCUGGACCGAGACUGACGCUGAGACGCGAAAGCGUGGGGAGCAAACAGG
rnacentral:rRNA from 1 species